UACGGAGGGUGCGAGCGUUGUUCGGAAUUACUGGGCGUAAAGCGCGUGCAGGCGGCCGACUAAGUCAGGUGUGAAAGCCCGGGGCUCACCUCCGGAAGUGCGCUUGAAACUGGUCGGCUAGAGUACGGGAGAGGGAAGCGGAAUUCCUGGUGUAGCGGUGAAAUGCGUAGAUAUCAGGAGGAACACCGGCGGCGAAGGCGGCUUCCUGGACCGAUACUGACGCUGAGGAGCGAAAGCGUGGGGAGCGAACAGG
rnacentral:rRNA from 1 species